UACUAUGGCCAUGCCACCCUGAACAAACCUGAUCCUGCCUGAUCUCAGAAGCUAAGCAGGGUGGGGCCUAGUUAGUACCUGGAUGGGAGACCACCUAGGUAGAACAGGUACUGUAGGCG
rnacentral:rRNA from 1 species